rnacentral:rRNA from 1 species
GUAGUCCAUGCCGUAAACGUUGGGCGCUAGGUGUGGGGCUCUUUCCACGAGUUCCGUGCCGCAGCAAACGCAUUAAGCGCCCCGCCUGGGGAGUACGGCCGCAAGGCUAAAACUCAAAGGAAUUGACGGGGGCCCGCACAAGCGGCGGAGCAUGCGGAUUAAUUCGAUGCAACGCGAAGAACCUUACCAAGGCUUGACAUGGGGCGAAAACUGGCAGAGAUGUCAGGUCCGCAAGGGCGCCUCACAGGUGGUGCAUGGUUGUCGUCAGCUCGUGUCGUGAGAUGUUGGGUUAAGUCCCGCAACGAGCGCAACCCUCGUUCUAUGUUGCCAGCACGUAAUGGUGGGGACUCAUAGGAGACUGCCGGGGUCAACUCGGA